AACGCGAAGAACCUUACCUGGGCUCGAACGGCUUAAGACAACUGUAGAAAUAUGGUCUUCCCGCAAGGGACUUGAGUCGAGGUGCUGCAUGGCUGUCGUCAGCUCGUGUCGUGAGAUGUUGGGUUAAGUCCCGCAACGAGCGCAACCCUUGUCCUGUGUUGCCAUCAUUAAGUUGGGCACUCUCGGGAGACCGCCAGCGAUAAGUUGGAGGAAGGUGGGGAUGAUGUCAAGUCAUCAUGGCCUUUAUGUCCAGGGCUACACACGUGCUACAAUGGACGGUACAAACCGCUGCAAACCCGCGAGGGGGAGCUAAUCGGAGAAAACCGUUCUCAGUUCGGAUUGCAGGCUGCAACUCGCCUGCAUGAAGCUGGAAUCGCUAGUAAUGCCGUAUCAGAACGACGGCGUGAAUACGUUCCCGGGCCUUGUACACACCGAGACGAC
rnacentral:rRNA from 1 species